rnacentral:rRNA from 1 species
CUACGGGUGGCUCCAGUGGGGAAUAUUGCACAAUGGGCGAAAGCCUGAUGCAGCAACGCCGCGUGGAGGAUGACACAUUUCGGUGCGUAAACUCCUUUUAUAUAAGAAGAUAAUGACGGUAUUAUAUGAAUAAGCACCGGCUAACUCCGUGCCAGCAGCCGCGGUAAUACGGGGGGUGCAAGCGUUACUCGGAAUCACUGGGCGUAAAGAGCAUGUAGGCGGGAUGACAAGUUGGAAGUGAAAUCCUAUGGCUUAACCAUAGAACUGCUUCCAAAACUGUCUUCCUAGAGUAUGGGAGAGGUAGAUGGAAUUUCCGGUGUAGGGGUAAAAUCCGUAGAGAUCAGAAGGAAUACCGAUUGCGAAGGCGAUCUACUGGAACAUUACUGACGCUCAGAUGCGAAAGCGUGGGGAGCAAACAGGAUUAGAUACCCCAGUAGUC